GAUGAACGCUGGCGGCGUGCCUAAUACAUGCAAGUCGAGCGAACAGACGAGGCGCUUGCUCCUCUGACGUUAGCGGCGGACGGGUGAGUAACACGUGGAUAACCUAUCUAUAUGACUGGGAUCACUUCGGCAAACCGGAGCACUUAAUGGAUAAUAUCUUCAACUGCAUGGUUCAAUAAUGAUAGACGGUUUUGCUGUCACUUAUCGAUGGAUCCGCGCCUCAUUAGCUAGUUGGUAAGGUAAAGGCUUACCAAGGCGCCGAUGCGUAACCGACGUGAGAGGGGGAUCGCCCACAUGGGAACGGGAACACGGUCCGGACUCCUACGGAAGGCAGCGGAAGGGAAUCUGGCGCAGUGGUGGAAAGCCUGACGAAACAAGGGCAAGUGAGUGAUGAAGGUCUUGGGAUCGUAAAACCCGGUUACUAGGGAAAAACAAAGUUGUAAUUGAAUGUGCACAUCUUGACGGUACCUGAUCAGAAAGCGACGGCUAACUACGUG
rnacentral:rRNA from 1 species